rnacentral:rRNA from 1 species
GAUCAUGGCUCAGGAUGAACGCUGGCGGCGUGCUUAACACAUGCAAGUCGAACGGGAAAUACUUUAUUGAAACUUCGGUCGAUUUAAUUUAUUUCUAGUGGCGGACGGGUGAGUAACGCGUGGGUAACCUGCCUUAUACUGGGGGAUAACAGCCAGAAAUGACUGCUAAUACCGCAUAAGCGCACAGAACCGCAUGGUCCGGUGUGAAAAACUCCGGUGGUAUAAGAUGGACCCGCGUUGGAUUAGCUAGUUGG